rnacentral:sRNA from 1 species
UCUAAUCAUGGAUAGGAACUCAAGACGAUCAAAAGGAGUUGGGUAUGCGCUCUCUUAUAGCAUAAUUUAUUCUUCAUGUGCAUGCACAAUUGUGGUAUUAGGUAUCAACUUUCAAGAAUUAUGUUUAAUUGUAUUCUUAAAUGGACUAGCAAUGCGAUAAUGAUGAGGGAUGAUGGGAAUACCUUGGACUCAUGUUUAAUCAAUUCAUGUUGCGUACUGAAGUUCUGAAAACUUGAUUCAUG